GGAGAGCCAACUAACAACUCAUAGUUGCUGUCUGCUUUCCUGGUCAUUUGGUAACCGAUUAAGGGAAGCAUAUUCUGAUAGUGACUCACUUCUUGUGUUAACAUAACUCUUUAUUCUGCCAAGUAGUCUGCUGAAAAGGUGCUUGAUACUGUGUGACACUAUUAUGCAAUGUUGGCUCAAACAGAGGUCAUUUCCCUCUUCUUUGAAGACUUUUGUCUAGGAGGGGAAGAUUCGUGAGAUUCUUGCCCCAAAGUGGCUUAUACCCAGACAUGAGAGCCAGCUUCAGAUGCUCUUCUUCUAAAAUAUAGUUGAUCUUAUUUUGUCUGUCUUCAACUUUUCUAUCCCAGAUGGAUUUUCUG
rnacentral:lncRNA from 11 species